ACUGUUGGACGCCUCUGCUAAAGAGGAGGAAGGGAAUGGGCAACGGUAGGUCAGCAUGCCCCGAAUUAUCUGGGCUACACGCGGGCUACAAUGGGUGGGACAAUGGGUAUCGACACCGAAAGGUGAAGGCAAUCUCCUAAACCCAUCCGUAGUUCGGAUUGUGGGCUGCAACUCGCCCACAUGAAGCUGGAAUCUGUAGUAAUCGUGUCUCAAAAUGGCACGGUGAAUAUGUCCCUGCUCCUU
rnacentral:rRNA from 1 species